GACCUGAUGCAGCCAUGCCGCGUGUGUGAAGAAGGCCUUCGGGUUGUAAAGCACUUUCAGUUGUGAGGAAAAGUUAGUAGUUAAUACCUGCUAGCCGUGACGUUAACAACAGAAGAAGCACCGGCUAACUCCGUGCCAGCAGCCGCGGUAAUACGGAGGGUGCGAGCGUUAAUCGGAAUUACUGGGCGUAAAGCGCACGCAGGCGGUUUGUUAAGCUAGAUGUGAAAGCCCCGGGCUCAACCUGGGAUGGUCAUUUAGAACUGGCAGACUAGAGUCUUGGAGAGGGGAGUGGAAUUCCAGGUGUAGCGGUGAAAUGCGUAGAUAUCUGGAGGAACAUCAGUGGCGAAGGCGACUCCCUGGCCAAAGACUGACGCUCAUGUGCGAAAGUGUGGGUAGCGAACAGGAUUAGAUACCCUGGUAGUCCACACCGUAAACGCUGUCUACUAGCUGUGUGUGUCUUUAAGACGUGCGUAGCGAAGCUAACGCGCUAAGUAGACCGCCUGGGGAGUACGGCCGCAAGGUUAAAACUCAA
rnacentral:rRNA from 1 species